rnacentral:rRNA from 1 species
AUUGAACGCUGGCGGCAGGCCUAACACAUGCAAGUCGAGCGGCAGCGGGAAAGUAGCUUGCUACUUUUGCCGGCGAGCGGCGGACGGGUGAGUAAUGCCUGGGAAAUUGCCCAGUCGAGGGGGAUAACAGUUGGAAACGACUGCUAAUACCGCAUACGCCCUACGGGGGAAAGCAGGGGACCUUCGGGCCUUGCGCGAUUGGAUAUGCCCAGGUGGGAUUAGCUUGUUGGUGAGGUAAUGGCUCACCAAGGCGACGAUCCCUAGCUGGUCUGAGAGGAUGAUCAGCCACACUGGAACUGAGACACGGUCCAGACUCCUACGGGAGGCAGCAGUGGGGAAUAUUGCACAAUGGGGGAAACCCUGAUGCAGCCAUGCCGCGUGUGUGAAGAAGGCCUGGUUGUAAAGCACUUUCAGCGAGGAGGAAAGGUUAGAUCGCUAAUACGCAUCAGCUGUGACGUUACUCGCAGAAGAAGA